rnacentral:rRNA from 1 species
AGAACGAACGCUGGCGGCAUGCCUAACACAUGCAAGUCGAACGCUCUUGGUUUCGGCCAAGGGAGUGGCGCACGGGUGAGUAACGCGUGGGAACCUGCCCUGGAGUGGGGGAUAACCGAGGGAAACCUCGGCUAAUACCGCAUACGUCCUGAGGGAGAAAGAUUUAUCGCUCUAGGAGGGGCCCGCGUCGGAUUAGCUAGUUGGUGGGGUAACGGCCCACCAAGGCUAUGAUCCGUAGCUGGUCUGAGAGGAUGAUCAGCCACACUGGGACUGAGACACGGCCCAGACUCCUACGGGAGGCAGCAGUGGGGAAUAUUGGACAAUGGGCGCAAGCCUGAUCCAGCAAUGCCGCGUGAGUGAUGAAGGCCUUAGGGUUGUAAAGCUCUUUUGUGCGGGAAGAUAAUGACGGUACCGCAAGAAUAAGCCCCGGCUAACUUCGCGCCAGCAGCCGC